rnacentral:rRNA from 1 species
UAACACCAGCGCCACGAGUGGCAAUCAUGUUUAUUGGGCUUAAAGUGUUCGUAGCCGGUUUGGUAAGUUCUUUGUGAAAUCGCUGGGCUUAACCUAGCGGCGCGCAAAGAAUACUGCUGGACUUGGGACCGGGAGGGGUCAGAGGUAUGUCCAGGGGAGCGGUAAAAUGCUAUAAUCCUGAGUGGACCACCUGUGGCGAAGGCGUCUGACCAGAACGGGUCCGACGGUGAGGAACGAAAGCUAGGGGAGCAAAACGGAUUAGAUACCCGUGUAGUCCUAGCUGUAAACGCUGCGAGUUAGGUGUUGCACAUUCUAUAUGUGUGUGCAGUAUCGUAGUGAAAGCAUUAAACUCGCCGCCUGGGGAGUACGGUCGCAAGGCUG